rnacentral:lncRNA from 1 species
GUAGACACUAAAUCAAUUGCUAGGAUCCUUUUUAAACCAGUAGUUGUAUCUUCUGUAAACACUAAAUCAACUGCUAGGGUAAUUUUUAAACAGCUGUUGUACCUUAUGUAGACACUAAAUCAAUUGCUAGGAUCCUUUUUAAACAGUAGUUGUAUCUUCUGUAAACACUAAAUCAACUGCUAGGGUAAUUUUUAAACAGCUGUUGUACCUUAUGUAGACACUAAAUCAAUUGCUAGGAUCCUUUUUAAACAGUAGUUGUAUCUUCUGUAAACACUAUAUCAACUGCUAGGGUAAUUUUUAAACAGCUGUUGUAUCUUCUGUAGAUACUAAAUCAACUGCUAGGAUCCUUUUUAAACAGUAGUUGUAUCUUCUGUAAACACUAAAUCAUCUAGUAGGGUCCUCUUUAAACAGCUGUUGUAUCUUAUGUAGACACUAAAUCAAUUGCUACUAUCCUUCUUAAUCAGCUGUUGUACCUUUUGUAGAUACUAAAUCAACUGCUAGGGUCCUCUUUAAACAGCUGUUGGUAUUAUCUGCAGACAUUGAAUUUAUUUUUGUAUAGUUUGUUUCAUAUGCUCAGUACUUGAUGAACCUAAUUAAACUUACCUGAUGUCUUGUCACAGAAGAAAAUGUUCACAGCUUUCAAACAAAUAUAAUUUAACAUGAAAAACUUUUUAGGAAUAAUGCCUCAAGAAACUAAAAAAAAUCGUAGAUCUGUGGUUUGCUCCUAAGUUUUCUAAUGAUCCCAUUAGAUUCAUUUAUUCUCCUCUGAGAAGCUCCAUCUAGUCACUCUCCUACAAAACCAUAAUUUACUGCCCAAUCUACUUUAUUUACUCUGCAUUGAUGUAAAUAGUUUAUGAUCUCCUCAAGUGUUACCUUUAACUACUUUUAAAGUUGGCUUCAUUUGUAAUUGUUCAAACCACAUGUUCUGACAUCAUAAAAAAAAAGGUGGGAAGAAGCCUGUAGGAAUAAAAUCAUGUGAGAAACAAGACAUGGAUAGUUAUAUUCUCAAGGAUGAUAGUUUCUUAGCAAAUAUAAACUUAUACUUUGGAUUAGCAAAAAUUUCUAAACAAAUUGAUUAGUUUGUUGUUUAUUGAUGAUACUUCUCAGAACUACAUAACAAUAUAAGUUUCAACAUAUUUUUUUCUUGUUGUUUGCAAAUGACACCAAAUAAAUGUUGCAAACAUUACUAUACAACAUUGUAUGCUAUCAUUCAUAUUUUUCAGAACGUUAUGGAUUUACAUCAUGCAGUUUCAAAACAUAAGUGUGAACGAUGUUGAUACCCCUUGAGGACAUCAAAUAAACCAGUAAUAUCCCUUGAUACAUGCCCCCCAGUGGCACAGCGGUAUGUCUGCGGACUUACAACGCUAGAAACCGGGUUUCGAUACCCUUGGUGGGCAGAGCACAGAUAGCCCUUGUGUAGCUUUGUGCAUAAUUAAAAAACAAACAAACCCUUGAUACAACUCAAGGAUGUUAAACAAAUCAGUAAUAUCCCUUGACACCAAUGAAACAGGUGUUACCCCUUGAAGAUGUUAAAUAAACCAGUAAUAUCCUUGACACCAAUGAAAUAGGUGUUAUUACCCCUUAAUAAUGUUAGAUAAACUGGUAAUAUCCCUUGACACCAAAGAAACAGGUGUUGGUACCCCUUGAAGAUGUUAAGUAAACCAGUAAUAUCCCUUGACACCAAUGAAACAGGUGUUACCCCUUGAAGAUGUUAAACAAACCAGUAAUAUCCCUUGACACCAAUGAAACAGGUGUUACCCCUUGAAGAUGUUAAACAAACCAGUAAUAUCCCUUGACACCAAUGAAACAGGUGUUACCCCUUGAAGAUGUUAAAUAAACCAGUAAUAUCCCUUGACACCAAUGAAACAGGUGUUGUGUGUACCUGUUGAGGAUGUUAAAUGAACCAAUUCAUCUAAAAAUGUUUUUAUUGUCUUCUGAAAAAUGACAAGUUCCUCAGUAGAUUUAUUUCAAAGGAGUGGUCAGGUUAAUGUAUAUUCUGGUCAGUAUCAUAGGUCAUCACAUUGUGGCAUUGGAGUUUACUUACUUUUGUCACAUAUACACAAUUCUUCUGUUAUUUUUCAUCUGGAAUUGUUUAAUUUUAGUUUUAAUUGUUUGUUGUACCGAUUGUUUUGAAUAGAAUAAAUGAUGAUAUUAUUAAAUAGAGAAAGUUAAGUUUCAUGAAAUGGGAUUUCUUUACUGUAUCAAUUAGAAACAAUUUAUGAUCUAAUAAAUAGUUUGGUAUAAAAUCUAUAAAUUAAUAGUAUUUAGUUUUAUUCAUUGACAUUUAUUAAGCCUAGUUACAAAUAUCUUUUGUAAUGGUUAAAAAUAUAGAAUUUCAAUUAGAUUUUUUGAACAUCUUUUGUUACCAUUAAACAUUUUAUAACUGGAAAGUAGAAACUUAUUUUAAGUUUGAAGUGUAACACAAAUUUAUGUAUGAAUUCAUGCCUUAUUAGAAGAAACAUAUGAUAGUAAAAAAAAUAGAUUUAUUUAUUAAUAUUUUUAUUGCAAAGAGUUUUGGUAGUUGUGGGACAGAAAGUACUGUAUUUUUACAAUGUUUUUUUGGUAAAAUUUUAACAUAUUUGGAUAAAAACAAAAACUUUUUUAGAUAAAAUCAAUGAUAUCAAACUUAAGGGCACCAAACUUGUACAAAUUAAAAUUGUUUUAAUUUAUAUGACACAAUCUACAACACUUGCCAACUCAAAUAUGACCAUUGAUAUUGUAUGACUACAUCAUUUUUCUUCUUUAAAAUAUUGGAAAUUUUAUAUUAAAAAGUAAAGAGAGAGUGUUGUAUUAGCAAGUAAUGCUUUUGAUAUAUCACAUUGAAGUCAUAGAAGUUUUUCAUUAAAUGUUGUGGUAAUUUUUUUUUUAAACGCGAUGUGUUUAGCAAUGAUUUAAUACGUAAAUGGAUUUCUGGAAAUUCAACCUUAGUGAAUUUUUCAUCUUGCGCUGUUUGUUUUUUUUUCUGAUGACAAAUUACACCAGGUAUUUUUUCAAUCAUUAAUUGGAAAAGAUUGCUGGACUGAAAUUACUGCUAGUUGUUUUUUUUUGCAACUAUUUUAUUCUACUUAAUAUUGAUUAUUUUUUAGUGUUAUGUGGUUUUUAGUACAAAUUAUAAGUAGUUACAUAUUUUUCUAUAAAAAAAAUAGCAGUGUAUUAAUUUAUAUGCAUGGAAUGUCAAUUGGUAUCCUUUUCAUUAUCCAUUAAAGUAUAUUUGAAAUGGACUUUUCACUGACUUCUAGAUGGUGAGUUAACUUUAUAAAAAUGUUCCAACUAUCUUUUAUUUUUAAUAACCUUAGAAAGCAAACGUCAAUGACCCCUAGAAUAUUAGUGAGCUGAUGAAAAGUUUUUUAAUAUGAAAUAAUAAAUGGGUAAAGAACUAGAACAUUUUGGAUAUUGAAAAAGUUUUCAAAUAUUCCAGGAUAAAAAUCCAGUUAUUUUAUCCAUCUUAAGUUGAUAACCAUUUAUCUGCUUUGACAUUUGUCACAAUCUGUGUAAUCUCACUUAUUUAUCUGUCUAUCUAUACCUACAAAUAUUCUAUACUAACAAAAGUAUGGUUUUAUUAAUAACUAUUGUGUAGUGAAUUAACUGUCAUAAUAUGACCAAUCUGUUAUGGUAUUAAGUACUGGUUAAUUUUACCAAAACAUAAAUCUGGCAUUAAAAAGUACUGGUUAAUCUUACCCAGGCAUUGAAAAGUACUGGUUAAUCUUACCCAAACAUAAAUCUGGCAUUAAAAAGUACUGGUUAAUCUUACCCAGGUAUUGAAAAGUACUGGUUAAUCUUACCCAAACAUAAAUCUGGCAUUAAAAAGUACUGGUUAAUCUUACCCAGGCAUUGAAAAGUACUGGUUAAUCUUACCCAAACAUAAAUCUGGCAUUAAAAAGUACUGGUUAAUAUUACCCAGGCAUUGAAAAGUACUGGUUAAUCUUACCCAGGCAUUGAAAAGUACUGGUUAAUCUUACCCAGGCAUAAAUCUGGCAUUAAAAAGUACUGGUUAAUCUUACCCAAACAUAAAUCUGGCAUUAAAAAGUACUGGUUAAUCUUACCCAAACAUGAAUCUGUCAUGGUAAAGUAUGGAUUACUGUUACCUGAUAAAUAAAUCUGACAUGCUAAAGUUUUAAUUACUGUUACCUGAUACACAAAUAUGACAUGGUAAAGUUCUGGUUACUGUUACCUAAUACACAAAUCUGACAUGGUAAAGUUCUAGUUACUGUUACCUGAUACACAAAUCUGACAUGGUAAAGUACUGAUUACAGUUACAUGAUACAUAAAUCUCACAUGGUAAAUCACUGAUUUAUUGUUACCUGAUGCAUAAAUCUGGCAUGGUAAAAAAUUGAUUUACUGUUACCUGAUACAUAAAUCUAACAUGGUAAAGUACUAGUUACUGUUACUUGAUACACAAAUCUGACAUGGUAAAUCACUGACUACUGUUACCUGAUACAUAAAUCUCACAUGGUAAAGUACUGGUUACUGUUACCUGAUACAUAAAUCUGACAUGGUAAAGUGCUGAUUACUGUUACCUGAUACAUAAACCUGGCAUGGUAAAGUACUGGUUACUGUUAACUGGUACAUAAAUAUUAUAUAAUAAAGUACAGAUUGCUGUUACCUGGUACAUAAAUAUUAUAUAAUAAAGUACAGAUUACUGUUACAUAAAAAUUACAUAAUAAGGUACAGAUUACUGUUACCUGGUACAUAAAUAUUAUAUAAUAAAGUACAGAUUACUGUUACAUAAAAAUUACAUAAUAAAGUACAGAUUACUGUUACCUGGUACAUAAAUAUUAUAUAAUCAAGUACAGAUUACUGUUACAUAAAAAUUACAUAAUAAGUACAGAUUACUGUUACCUGGUACAUAAAUAUUACAUAAUAAAAUACAGAUAUUCUGUAACUGAAUCUUGAGUCUUCCUUCACGACCUAUGAUUCAUUUUUAAUUAGAACUUUAGUGUGGUAAUCACACAAGUAAACCCUGGAUCCACUUGUUGCUUGAAGUGUAGUGUGAACAAUAUCUCAUUAAGUAGAAUUGCAUUGUUCAGUGGUAAUUUAUAUUUUCACCUCACAAUAAUGAAUAUUUUUUUAGGUAUAAGAUGAUGUAUGUUUAAAGGUAAACCAUAUAAGUAAUCAGUCAGCAUAUCUUUUACACUGAAACAUUAGUAGUCAUGCAAAAUUAUGAAAAUUAAUUCAUUUGGGGAGCUUCAAACAUUGUGUAUGACUUUUUUAUACUGGUGUGUUUCUUUGUAUGAGUAUGAAUGUGUUGUACUAGUCGUCGUCUUAAAUAUUUUAUAAAAUCAAAUACCUGUGCUGAUUGUUAACUUUUGGAUCCUUUUAGAUUGUAGACUAACAGUAAAAAAAAUAUGCUUUAUAAAUUUUAAAUUCAGCUGUUUUCUCUCAACCACAUUUAUUAAUGUUUUUUUCUCUUUUAAAAACAUUAAAUGGCACUUUUCACAAAACUACAUUUCUCAUGUUUGUUAGCAGAUACAAAAUGUGGUUGCACAGACAGAAAUCAAAAUGUUUUCAAAAUUGUUAUGAGGGCCAAUAUAGUAUUGAAUUCAUGUAUCUUGUUGCAUAAACUUUCAUAGUAAUCAUAUUGGUAAUAUAAAGAGGUACACUUUAUAUCUUAACCCCAGGUCUUGUACAAAUUGUUUUUUUUUUGAGAGUACAAAUUAAUAACAGAGCCUAUUCUGUCUUGGGUAUUUGAUCAAUGGCCUUGACAUGACAGUGAGUCUUUUGGUAGACCUAAAUCAAUAUGUCUUUUAUUUAUAAAAAAACAAAAAGGUGUGAUUUUAGAAAAACUGUUUGAAUUAAUACAGACUCUAUGUAUACCUAUUAAAGGCUAGAAAAGUGAACUCGAAACAUUUUAUUCACCCUCAUGGUUCUUAAUGUAUUGAGAAAACCUUGUUCGUGCAAAAUUUUGUGACAUUAGUUUAUAUUUUUCACCCUAAUUACAGUGUUCUAUGAUGUUUUUUAAAAACAGACUAAUUUCUCUAAAUUAUUUUUUCUUUAUUUGUAACAGUUCUUAAAUUAACUGAGAAGAGUAAAAAAAAGCCAAUGUAUAUUUAAUUGUAUUUUGUCAGUUUAGUUGAAAAGUAAAGAUCUUUUGACAUUGUUUAGAUAUAUAGUUGUAUAUUGUUAGCUAAUUUUGAAACUUUAUUGUGGUAGUUAGAUGCCAAAAAAUAAUAUUUUAUUGUUCAACAUCAAGCUCCAUUUUAAUUUCAUGAUGGAAAAAAUUGUUACAGCAACUCUCAGUAGCUCCAUGCCUGAAAGAACAGUUUUAAUAAUCUUUCGUUAUAUUUAAAAACAGGUAAACUAAUCAACAGUUUGGUUUGAUAUAGAGUACUAGCUGGAUUUUUGUAUCCUUUCUGUCAUGAGAAUAAUUCAUCUUUGCCUUGUGAACACGUACAUAUGUUAU